rnacentral:rRNA from 1 species
UACGUAGGGGGCAAGCGUUGUCCGGAAUCAUUGGGCGUAAAGAGCGUGUAGGCGGCCCGGUAAGUCCGCUGUGAAAGUCCAGGGCUCAACCCUGGAAAGCCGGUGGAUACUGUCGGACUAGAGUGCGGAAGAGGCGAGUGGAAUUCCCGGUGUAGCGGUGAAAUGCGCAGAUAUCGGGAGGAACACCAAUUGCGAAGGCAGCUCGCUGGGACGUUACUGACGCUGAGACGCGAAAGCGUGGGGAGCAAACAGG